rnacentral:rRNA from 1 species
UACGAAGGGGGGCUAGCGUUGCUCGGAAUUACUGGGCGUAAAGCGCACGUAGGCGGCUUCUUAAGUCGGUGGUGAAAUCCUGGAGCUCAACUCCAGAACUGCCUUCGAUACUGGGAAGCUCGAGUCCGGGAGAGGUGAGUGGAACUGCGAGUGUAGAGGUGAAAUUCGUAGAUAUUCGCAAGAACACCAGUGGCGAAGGCGGCUCACUGGCCCGAUACUGACGCUGAGGUGCGAAAGCGUGGGGAGCAAACAGG